AGACCGCUUGUCUGAAGCCCUGAGGAGCUGCUGUCAGUCAGUGACCAGGACAAAUGGUCUGAAUCUGGAUGAGGCAGCUUCCAACGUUCCUGUGGAAAUCAGCCCUUAGUUCAGAACCAUGAGGACUGGAAUCUUGCUUUUUUUAAAAAAAAAAAAAAAGGAAAGAGCUGUAACUCAGUGGCAGAGCACAUGAUUUCCACAGAGAAAGUCCCAGUUUCAAUCUCCAAUGGCAUCGCCGGGUAAGGUGGGAGAGACCCCCGCCUGAAACCUUGGAGAGCAGCUGCCAGUCAGUGUGGACAGUACUGAGCUAGAUGGACCAAUGGGUCUGACUCUGGAUAACGCAGCUCCCUACGUGCCGAAGAGCACAGGGAGGUUUUUGUGCCAAGAACGUUUUCCGAUGAGGUUUGCAAGAAUGCCUCCCCUCACCCUCCAUCUCUGCCGUGCGCUUGGGAAGUGGCAACCGUGACUCACCAGGGGACGAGGGGAAGAGGUCCCCAAGCACAACAAGGAAGUCUUAACACACCAUCUUACCUUCUGGGUCGUCUCGGAUUACCAAGAGGCCGUUUCGGCAGACAACCUUUCCCGUGGCGGCAUCUAUAAAUAUCAGCGAGGGAAUGUUGGACACACGGAACUUGUUCCAGAGUUUCAACUGGGGGAGAGAGAAAGAGAGAGAAAAGCUGUAACACACCGCAAGGCAAAGAGGGAAAUUGUCUUUAGAAAUCUCGCUCCUUCGCCUCUGCCAACCUGUUGCUGUUUCACGAUCCAAACUCAGACUAUUUAUAAACCGCUUCGCAGCCUGAGGCCAUCAAAACAGGGUACAGCACGAUAAAACACAAGCUCUAACAGCAAUAAAACCAUUUCUACGAACUCAAACAAACAGUAACACCAUUUCAAAAGGAGGAACUCCUGUUUGCUCAUCACACUGGAAGGAAUACCUCUCCGAAGAGUAGUGUGGUGUAGUGGUUAGAGAGCAAGACCAGGACCUGGAAGACCAGGGUUCAAAUCCCUACUCGGCCAUGAAGCUCUCACUGGGUGACUUUGGCCCUGUCACUGCUCCUCAGCCUAACCUACCUCGCAGGGUUGUGGUGAGGGUGAAAUGCAGAGGGGGAAAAACCACGCACGUCACCUUGAGCUCCCUUGGAGCACAUAAGGUGAGACGUAAAUGUAAUAAAUAAAAAAAUAAAACAAGAUGGUUACUCCUACAGCACUCAAACACAUCCUUUAAAUAAACAAAAAAUUGCCUCCCCGUGCACUAACCUAAACAACAACCUUGACAGGUGGUCAUUCCAAACCCAUAAAACUGCCGGAACUGAAAGAAAGAGGGGAAAGUGUUUGGGGAAAUGCAAUCCUACUGCGCUCACUCAACCAGUCGCUCACACUGACAACAGCAAGCCUGCUCUCUCUCUCUCUCUAGAUUUCCAGAGCUAAAAAGGGACUUUUAUGGCGUUUCCCGUGGUCAUCAGAGCCGCCUCGGAAUGUGUUUGGAUAUGCUCUGGUCGGAGUGUCCACUUAAAGAGGGCUAAAUCCUUCUGUUUAUUUGGCCAGGCUUUGCAACCCUCGAGACAAGAUUGCAUCAGCUUUCCUUGGCGCAGGGACAGGCAAGCAGGUUUCUCCUUCCAUUACAAGUCAACUGAUGAGGCAUGAGCUCAGGCGCUGAGAAGCUGGAGAGCCAUGUGCGGCUGGAUCUUGGGAGGCUCAAGAGAAAAGGCAGCUUUGCCAGAGAGAGAGAGAGAAAGGGAAGGGGGCUGGUGGAAGAGGAACUGGCCAGCCAGGAAGAUCAAGUGUGGAAAACAAACUCCAGAUUUGCUCCAUUUGCUAAAGAGAGCGACACCCAGGUCACGUCAAACCGAGUCCUUACUGGGCUGCAAGGUUUUAACUGCUAAGUCUAUUUAAAACCAAUUGCUCUGCUGGAAUGGGACAACGCAUAAAAUUCCCCUUGGUGAACAGAAGAAGGUCCCAUGUGGACUAGCGCACGGGUAAUCAAAGGAGGGGCUUUCCUCCUGUUUUUCUCUCCCCUCUCGAUCCUUUUUUCCUUUUGUGUCGCAUCUUUUUGAGAGUGUAAGGCUGAGGGCAGCUGUGUCUUUCACGAGGGCAAGCCUGUGUUAUUCAGAUUGAUUUGCAAGCUGCUCUGCAAGCUUUUCUGGAUAAAGAGCAGGGUAUAAAUGCUUUGAACGAAUGAACCUUUUCUCAAAAAGCACAAAGAGCCCUUCUGGAUCAAGCCAACAGGGGCCCAUCUGGCCCAGGAUCCUGUGAGCGUGGUGGCCAAUCAGAUGCCCCAGUGGGACUCCCCAAGUAGGGCCUUGAGUGCAACAGCAACUCUUCCCACUCGUGGUUCCCAGAAAUUGGGAUUCAAAGGCAUCCUGCCUCCGACUGCAGAGGGAGAACUCUUAAACCAGAGGCCGGAAACUUUUUCAGGCCAAGGGCCACAUUCCCCCGUAGGCGACCUUCCGGGGUCCGCAUGCAGCAGUGGGUGGGGCCGGAGACGGAAGUGGGCAGAGUAAACAAUGAGGAUCUUUGUAGACUGUAUUCCAGCCACGCAAAAAGCCGGAGGAGUCUAACCACAUGCGCACAGGCACACAAAAUCUCCUUCCACGCAAGCAAAAGACAAUCUGACAGUUGAUGGGACACAUUUCAGCCAGGCAAAAGCCCUGGGAGGGUGCUGAGCAGGACCAGUGAGGGAUAGGGACUGGGGAAGAGUCCCCAGGGCCAAGGGAAGGGACCUGGAGGGCCACAUUUGGCCCAAGGUCCAGAGGCUCCCUAGGGCCAUUUUAAACCUUGGAAGCGGCUGGGCUUUAUUGGCUGAUGCCAGGUCUGACUGCAUUAUCCCUUUAUUUAUUCUUUCUUUCUUUAUUACAUUUAUAUACUGCCCCAUAGCCGAAGCUCUCUGGGCGGUUUACAGCAAUUAAAAACAUUAAAAACAAACCUACAAAUUUUAAAACACAAAAACCAAUUUAAAAACACAAUUUAGAAAAUGUAAAAGCCAUUGAAAAGCACAUGCUAAAAUGCCUGGGAGAAGAGGAGAGUCUGGACCUGGUGCCAAAAAGAUAACAGUGUUGGCACCAGGCGCAUCUCGUUAGGAAAAUUAUUCCGUAUUUGAGGGCCACCACUGAGAAGGCCCUCCCCUUGUUGCCAGACUCCCAGCUUCCCUCGGAGUAGGCUCCCGGAGGAGGGCCUUGGAUGAUGAGCGUCGUGUACGGAUGGGUUCGUGUCGGGAGAGGCGUUCCAUCAGGUAUUGUGGUCCCAAGCUGUGUAAGGCUUUAUAGGUUAAAACCAGCACCUUGAAUCGAGCUCGGAAACAUACAGGCAGCCAAUGCAAGCGUAUUGCCCUUGUGAGCUUGAAGGAUGUUGUAGAAAAUGAAGCCAUUUGUUUAAAAUAUGGGGGGGGGCAGGGGAGGGGUGAGUAUUAAUGUGCCAUUUUGCCCAUAGCGCACACACCGUUUUUAAAUCUUGUUUGUGUUUGCUGCCCUCGGCUUCUUCGGCAGGCUAUAAAUUUAAUAAAUAACAAUAUAAAAUAGUGA